GCUGGAUACCAGUGAGGAGCCGCUGUUCCUCCGGGAGCCAUUCAUGGAGCGCAUGGACUUGGAGUCGGCUUCCAGAAGCCUGGGAGAGAGGAGGCCAGAAAAUUCCACUUAUCUCACCCAGGGCUGAGGAGUAUCCAGCACCCAGGGACAGACCUCUAGCCAGAGCUAACUGAAAUGCUUCAAGCCAGUGAAUUGUAUGCUUGCCUGCCCUGCCUCGCCCACUCCUGCCCAUGGAAACCAACAAAAAGGUUCUUGCCAGCAUUUUCCUCAGGCUCUAGUCUGCCUCCUGACUGACGGGUUGUUUCUUCUCCUCUUGGGAACUAAGUCUGCUCUAUGUUCCUGAACCCAACCUGACCCAGUUUUGACUCAUGGUCAUGGAAAGGGCCUCACAUGGUCCCUGCAGAGGGACAUCUGAUUUCCUGGACAGUGGGGAAGAGAAAAUAUGAGAAGAACACUGCUCACCCAUCUGCACGGAGCACCUUCCGAGUCCCUAGUCAACUCCAGGGUUCCCAGAUUGCGAACACAAUGCAUCCCUGGAAUCUCUGCUGCUUGUGACUACCCUGACAUGAUGGAGUGACAUGAAACUGAGCCAGAAUACAUCCAUUCUCCCAAAGAUGCUUUUGUCGGGAUAUUGUGUCAUAACAAACAGAAAGGGCUAGCCAAGAUUGCCAGCUGGCCCUCAGUAGCCCCAUCAUUCCCCAGAUCCUUCACAAGACUUGGUGCCCCCUACCCAAUAAGGAAGGAGUCACUGUGGAUCUUCCUGGCAUCAUCACCAUGCCCAAUUUUGUAUAGUGCUGUGGUCAGAGCCCAGGGACUGGAGUAUGCUGGAUGAGCAAUCUGCUAGUUGAGCUGCAGCCCUG